rnacentral:tRNA from 1 species
GCACCCGUGGUGAAAUUGGCAUACACGCAAGGUUCAGGUCCUUGUGGCCGCAAGGCCGUGGGGGUUCAACUCCCUCCGGGUGCA